rnacentral:rRNA from 1 species
GGGACACGUGGUAUCCUGUCUGAAUAUGGGGGGACCAUCCUCCAAGGCUAAAUACUCCUGACUGACCGAUAGUGAACCAGUACCGUGAGGGAAAGGCGAAAAGAACCCCGGCGAGGGGAGUGAAAAAGAACCUGAAACCGUGUACGUACAAGCAGUGGGAGCCUCUUAAUGGGGUGACUGCGUACCUUUUGUAUAAUGGGUCAGCGACUUAUAUUCUGUAGCAAGGUUAACCGAAUAGGGGAGCCGAAGGGAAACCGAGUCUUAACUGGGCGUUAAGUUGCAGGGUAUAGACCCGAAACCCGGUGAUCUAGCCAUGGGCAGGUUGAAGGUUGGGUAACACUAACUGGAGGACCGAACCGACUAAUGUUGAAAAAUUAGCGGAUGACUUGUGGCUGGGGGUGAAAGGCCAAUCAAACCGGGAGAUAGCUGGUUCUCCCCGAAAGCUAUUUAGGUAGCGCCUCGUGAAUUCAUCUCCGGGGGUAGAGCACUGUUUCGGCAAGGGGGUCAUCCCGACUUACCAACCCGAUGCAAACUGCGAAUACCGGAGAAUGUUAUCACGGGAGACACACGGCGGGUGCUAACGUCCGUCGUGAAGAGGGAAACAACCCAGACCGCCAGCUAAGGUCCCAAAGUCAUGGUUAAGUGGGAAACGAUGUGGGAAGGCCCAGACAGCCAGGAUGUUGGCUUAGAAGCAGCCAUCAUUUAAAGAAAGCGUAAUAGCUCACUGGUCGAGUCGGCCUGCGCGGAAGAUGUAACGGGGCUAAACCAUGCACCGAAGCUGCGGCAGCGACACUAUGUGUUGUUGGGUAGGGGAGCGUUCUGUAAGCCUGUGAAGGUGUACUGUGAGGUAUGCUGGAGGUAUCAGAAGUGCGAAUGCUGACAUAAGUAACGAUAAAGCGGGUGAAAAGCCCGCUCGCCGGAAGACCAAGGGUUCCUGUCCAACGUUAAUCGGGGCAGGGUGAGUCGACCCCUAAGGCGAGGCCGAAAGGCGUAGUCGAUGGGAAACAGGUUAAUAUUCCUGUACUUGGUGUUACUGCGAAGGGGGGACGGAGAAGGCUAUGUUGGCCGGGCGACGGUUGUCCCGGUUUAAGCGUGUAGGCUGGUUUUCCAGGCAAAUCCGGAAAAUCAAGGCUGAGGCGUGAUGACGAGGCACUACGGUGCUGAAGCGACAAAUGCCCUGCUUCCAGGAAAAGCCUCUAAGCAUCAGGUAACAUCAAAUCGUACCCCAAACCGACACAGGUGGUCAGGUAGAGAAUACCAAGGCGCUUGAGAGAACUCGGGUGAAGGAACUAGGCAAAAUGGUGCCGUAACUUCGGGAGAAGGCACGCUGAUAUGUAGGUGAAGCGACUUGCUCGUGGAGCUGAAAUCAGUCGAAGAUACCAGCUGGCUGCAACUGUUUAUUAAAAACACAGCACUGUGCAAACACGAAAGUGGACGUAUACGGUGUGACGCCUGCCCGGUGCCGGAAG